UGGUGCUGCUAGGCAUGCGU
rnacentral:misc_RNA from 1 species